GCUGGAUACAUGGAAAACAGUAGUAAGGAAUUUAUGUUUUUCUACACCUAAUCUUUUAAUUUUCCCUAGGCUAUGUGAAAUCUUUUGAUUGUCCUGUGUGCAUCAUUCUAAAUUUGGGCAUGGCUACAAUACAAUUGUGUCAAUGCAGACAAUGAUAACCUGUGUGAGCAUGCAUGUGUACACUUACUAUAUGUAGGAUAGAAUGACGGGAGAGAAAAAAAGGCAAAAAAGCCUGAAUUGGCUCCUGAACUGAUGCCCGGUAGUCAAUUUUCUUCCUAAAUUUUGAUUGGAAUCAAUUGGGUCCUUCAACUUUGCAAUUUUGACUAAUUAAGUCCAAUACCUAAUGCUGCUAGUUUGCUCCAUUAAAUUGAAUUGGUAAACUUCGAAACUGUCUAUGGGACCCAAUCUCUCUCUCCAUG
rnacentral:misc_RNA from 1 species